rnacentral:tRNA from 1 species
UCUAAGUAAGUAGCCANUACUUAAUUCCUG